rnacentral:rRNA from 1 species
AACGAACGCUGGCGGCAGGCCUAACGCAUGCAAGUCGAACGCUCUCUUCGGAGGGAGUGGCAGACGGGUGAGUAACACGUGGGAACCUACCCCUUGGUACGGAAUAACUGAUGGAAACGUUAGCUAAUACCGUAUGAGCGCUGAGGCGGAAAGAUUUAUCGCCAAGGGAUGGGCCCGCGUAGGAUUAGCUAGUUGGUGGGGUAAAGGCCUACCAAGGCGACGAUCCUUAGCUGGUCUGAGAGGAUGAUCAGCCAUACUGGGACUGAGACACGGCCCAGACUCCUACGGGAGGCAGCAGUGGGGAAUAUUGGACAAUGGGCGGAAGCCUGAUCCAGCCAUGCCGCGUGAGUGAUGAAGGCCUUAGGGUUGUAAAGCUCUUUCACCUGGGAAGAUAAUGACGGUACCAGGAGAAGAAGCCCCGGCUAACUUCGUGCCAGCCGCCGCGUAAAAC